GGUCCCGUGGCCCAGUGGAUAAGGCGUCUGCCUUCUAAGCAGAAUAUCGUGGGUUCGAUCCCCACCGGGAUCG